rnacentral:rRNA from 1 species
AACGUAGGACGCAAGCGUUAUCCGGAGUUACUGGGCGUAAAGCGCGGGCAGGCGGCUCGAAACGUCUGAUGUGAAAUCUCCUCGCUCAACGGGGAGAGGCCAUUGGAAACGGUCGAGCUGGAGGGCAGUAGAGGUAGGCGGAAUUCCGGGUGGAGUGGUGAAAUGCAUAGAGAUCCGGAGGAACACCAGAGGCGAAGGCGGCCUACUGGGCUGCACCUGACGCUGAGCCGCGAAAGCCAGGGGAGCGAAUGGG